rnacentral:rRNA from 1 species
UACGUAGGGCGCAAGCGUUGUCCGGAAUUAUUGGGCGUAAAGAGCGUGUAGGCGGCUUGGAAGGUCAGCUGUGAAAACUCGAGGCUCAACCUCGAGACGUCGGUUGAAACCACCUGGCUAGAGUCCGGAAGAGGAGAGUGGAAUUCCUGGUGUAGCGGUGAAAUGCGCAGAUAUCAGGAAGAACACCCGUGGCGAAGGCGGCUCUCUGGGACGGUACUGACGCUGAGACGCGAAAGCGUGGGGAGCGAACAGG